GAUGAAGAACGUAGCGAAAUGCGAUAAGUAAUGUGAAUUGCAGAAUUCAGUGAAUCAUCGAAUCUUUGAAGGCACAUUGCGCCCUUUGGUAUUCCGAAGGGCAUGCCUGUUCGAGCGUCAUUUCACCACUCAAGCCUGGCUUGGUAUUGGGCGCCGCGGUCGAUCCGCGCGCCUCAAAGUCUCCGGCUGAGCUGUCCGUCUCUAAGCGUUGUGAUUUCAUUAAUCGCUUCGGAGUGCGGGCGGCCGCGGCCGUUAAAUCUUUCACAAGGUUGACCUCGGAUCAGGUAGGGAUACCCGCUGAACUUAAGCAUAUCAAUAAGCGGAGGA
rnacentral:misc_RNA from 1 species